GCUGAAUACAGCGGCGAACCCCAGCGGGUCUUGGAUUAGAGGAAGGGUGUGGAGGGGGUUAAUGUACCUUAACCAGAGCUUCAAUUUAUUCUUUCAGCAUCGUGACUUCAUCCAGCUGAGAUCCAUGAGAAAAGCAGGUGCAUCAGCCAGAACAUCAUGGCUAGGGGGCGGCCAGAGACCACUAGAUCGUGGUAUUGGUCUCCGCAGCCCGGGAAAACCUGAUGAAUUAGAAGACUUUGAAGAUGCCUGCUGCUUGGUGACAGAAUGGAGUGUUUGAAUGGCAGCCGUGAGACAAUCCAGCAUCUUUGGAGCCUUCAGCCCUGUGCUCCCUUUGGAUCCUUGCCACCACGGUGUGUGAUGUGGAGCCUCACAAAGGCCCCUUCGAGAGUGGAAACCUGCUCCGCUUCAGUCUCUUGUAUGUGGAGCACAACCUUCAAUCCUGAAGGGAAGGUUUGCUAAGCAGGAGAGCUCCGGGGAGCUCUGUCUCCUGAGGACUAGGAUUGAAGCCAGGUCCACACGUGCGUGCUCUACCACUAAUCUACACUGGCAGCUCUCCUUUUUAUUUAUUUUGAGACAAGAUCUCACCCAGUUGCCCAUACUGGCUUCAAACUUGGAACCCUCUUGCCUUAGACUCUUGAGUAAUGGGUAUUAUAGGCAUGAACCACUGUGCCCAGUCUGGAGGGUGUCUUGGUUGUUAACCACCUCUGUAAGAAUGAGUUCUGGGGCCCAAACACCCAGCUUUAUGAGUUGUUAAUACCAUGCUUCUCUGGUAUACGGCACAGUAUCUGCCUAAUAAACUUGUGAA